rnacentral:lncRNA from 1 species
CAGGUAUCCCUCCAUCUAGUCAGGUGCAGCCUGGCAGCUUUCCGCAGCAGCCCCUACAGAUGCCUUAUGGGUCUAAUAGUAACCAACAAAAAUCUGCUGCUUCUGCAAUGUUACAAGCACCUCCACCAGGACUUCCUCCCAAUCAAGUUAGGCCUCAGGGCCCUGGACAGACAUUAGUUCCACCUGAAAAUUUUGCUCCUUCCUUUGGCAGAGGACCUAGUUAUGGCCCUCAAGGGCCUUAUAAUCAAGGUCCUGUUUCUGGUGCUCCUAGGAUACCUCAAGGUGAAACUCUUCUACAUCCACCAUUUGGUCCCCCAUCUCUUAAUGCUUUUGACUCGCAUGGUGCACCAUCAUAUGGCCCUGAGGGUCAUUUGGUUCAGCAGCGUCCUGCAAACAUGUUGAAUUUUGAUCAGGGACAAUUUGACGAAGAUCUUAAACAAUUUUCUAGGCCUUCUCAUUUAGAUACUGAGCCUGUUCCUAAAUAUGGGAGCUACUUUUCAUCAACCAGAUCUAUUGAUAGAGGUCCUCAUGGUUUUGCUAAGGAUGCAGGACCUUGGGCUCAUGACAAGGAACCUCGCGGUCUGAAUUUUGAUCCCAUGAUUGGCUCUGGUCCUUCUCGAUUCUUGCCACCAUAUCAUCCUGAUGAUGCAGGAGAAAGACCAGUUGGUCUUCCUGAAGAUACUCUAGGCAGACCAGAUUUUCUUGGAACAGUUACUGGCUAUGGUCGGCAUCGUAUGGAUGGUUUUAUCUCUAGAAGUCCAGGAAGAGAAUACUCAGGUAUUUCCUCACACAGAUUUGGAGGAUAUCCUGGUGAUGAGAUAGAUGGCAGGGAGCGCCGGUUCAAUGAUAGAUUUUCAGGUUUUCCUGGGCAUAUACAUAGGGGUGGGUUCGAGAGUUCUGACCACAUGGCAGAGCAUUUUGGUCCAGAUAUUCGACCUCCACACUUUAGAAGGGGUGAACAUUUUGGUCGUAAUAACAUGCCUGGUCAGUUGCGGAUGGAAGGACCUAUUGGCUUUGGUGAUUUUUCUAGCCAUGAACAAAUGGGGGAAUUUGAUGGGCCUGGAAACUUCCGUCAACCACGACUUGGAGAGCCAGGAUUUAGAAGCAGCUAUUCUCUUCGAGAAUUUCCUAUUGAUGGUGGAAUCUAUACAGUUAAGUGUUGGUUUUGUUCUAUACAAAAAUACUGUUCAUUCAUCAUGUUUCUCAUUUUUCUGGUCAAAUGUAAUCUGUGCAUGCUUGGGAAGCGUAUAUCAUUGAGUUCCGUAUGUUUAUUCUCUUGAUCUGUUUUGACUGAUGGUAUUUUCAGGGUGAUAUGGAUUCAUUUGAAAAUUUGAGAAAGAGAAAACCAGUGAGCAUGGGUUGGUGCCGUAUUUGUAAAGUGGACUGUGAAACAGUUGAAGGCUUGGACCUGCACUCACAAACAAGGGAGCACCAGAAGAUGGCUAUGGAUAUGGUUGCGAUCAUCAAACAAAAUGCGAAGAAACAGAAACAGUAAGUUUUCUAUUUUCAUAUUUUGCAUGGUGGUAUCUAAACCUUCAUCUGCUUACAUGUAAAAAAUCUAUUUAUUUUUUCUGUUGAUUUGUUUUGUAGAACCUCCAGUGAUCACUCCCUACGCAAUGAUUCAAACAAGUCAAGGAAUGCAAAAUUUGAAAGCCGCUCAAAUAAGAUUAAGUCUUGAUAUAUGCUGUCCCAUAGAUUGUGGUUGUUCCCUUGCUGGCUUGGGAUUGAGUUUGUCGGUUUGGUAUUUGGCACUUAGUGAUGUAGGUCAGUCACCCUUGCCUCUUUUCUACUUCUGGGUGGUUUAUGCUGGUCCUGUCAUUUCAGGUUGCUGCCAUGUUAAUGGAGAUGGUUUUUGGAACUGAAGUUCAGUGGCAGUUAAGUUUGUUGGUUUUUUUUUUUUUUUUAUAAUUUUCUAAUAUGAUAUCUUUUGCUUUUAGAACUUUCAGUAUUUUGUGGCGACUGCAGCAUUAUCUAGUUAAAAAUAUUUUUGCUAUAUCAGGAUGUUCUAAACUAGUGCUUCUUUUGUUGAGAUGGUAUAUUUUAGUAUGUAUGUAUCUAUAUUGUGUUUUCUUAUCCAUAGGUUUAUUAGGUUGAACCAACGUAGAUCCAAUGUGUGCACUUUUGCUUUUAUUCUUUAAUCAAGUGCUGGCUCAAGCUUUCUUUUUUUUUUUUUUUUCAAUUUAAUAUGUUUAGGUGUUUUAGGAUUAGAGUCCUUUUCUGACAGUGGCAUUUAACUGAACAAUUUUAACCUUCCUCAUUGUUGAAUUAAUCAUGCAACCUUUGCAACUUGUUUUUCUUCUAUAACAAAAGGUUGUUGGCCAACAUCUUUCCGUUGCCAGAUGCCUUUGUUCUACCAACCAUUGUUGCCACUUACCUUCAAACAGAGAGGGGUUGUUCUUAAAUUGAUAUAAACAAGUGUACAUAUUGUGGCUUCAUAUGCUUUUUAUAAUUAAUUUCUAGGUUGUAUAGUUUCUAAAGUUGCAUUUGAAAUUUAGUUAUAUCUAAAAACAUGCUUCUUAUAUUCUGUAAUUCAAGUACACUUCAGGUACUGAAAUCUAUCUAAAUAUUAGUGCUCAGUACUACUUUUAAUAAAACAGUUUUGACUUUUGCAUGAUUUCUAAUAAUAAUAUAUACAGGGGCAUACACAUCUAUGUUUAAAUAUGUUAUAUUUAAAACUGGCCGCAUUUACUCAAUUAAACAUUUUUAAUGCCAAAACAAAUUAAUGAUGCAACUUGUUAAGGAUUACGGAUAUCCUUAGUUCCUUGUCAUAUUUGUAGCUAGGAUUGCUUAAUGCGCUGUAUUACGUUUCUAGGAAAAUGUCUGUACUAUAGAUUGCUAAACCUAUGGGCCCAAAGCAUUUGAUCUCUGUAGUCUAGGUAAGUCUAGGAUAUAAAUGCAACUUGAGGAUCUAUGCAUGGUUUGACUGGUGGAAGUGAUCAUUAAAAUGGAAAGAACAUCAAAAUGGGGCCUGCUUGGUCAUUCAAUUGAAAUCCAGAAGCAGAAAAAUUAGAACCAUAAGCGGAAGAUCAAUGGCUUUUGUAUUUGGUAGCUUUUAUAUGAGCUUUUGAAGACUUAGGUUAUGACAGAUCUUCCAUGGUAGAGGAUAACCAUUGUUGGUGUAAAGAAUAAGCUUCUGGUCAAGACUAUUGAACUGCUCCUAACUAGCAAGGGGUGAAAUUUAUCUCCAUCCUGUGGUGGUUUGUUUCCAACCUCUUAAUUCAUGAUAAUAUUAUAGGUUCAAUAUCCUUGCCUUAAAGAAUUUAUAUUUCUUCUAACCGGAAUUCAAGAAAAUUUUUAUCCAAGUUAUUGUCAUUUAAAUGCUUUGUUUCACUAGUUUUAAUACUAAAAUAAUUUCCUUUUGUUACCUUCUAAUAGUUCCCGGUCCAAUUCUUAAUACUAUCACAAUUCUUUUAAACUUGAUAGAAUUGAUUUUUAUACUGGUGGAAUUUCUUUUUUCUUUUUCUAUAAUAGAUUUUUUCAAUUCAACCUCCCUUUUUUCGGCGAAGCAGACAACAUAAUGGCUGAAAGUUCACUGGGAAGGUUUUGACACUCAUCUUUUUUAGAUGUGGUAAGAUUGUGUUCAGCUUUGCGGUAAACUUUUGCUUUUGUAAUUUCGCCCCCUUGAAAUUAGUUAACUGUAAGGUAUUAUAUACGUUGCCUUAUUUACACUGGUUUUGUUUUAUAUCUUCUGUUAAAUUAAGCUUUUACAUUUUUAUGUCGAAUGCUAUUCGUCCGAAAUUUAUUUUUGUCCAAAAUUUUAGAAUUGAGAGGUUGGUAAAAAUGUUAGUUUGACAGUAAGUGAUCUCCUAAAACGUAUUCUAGGAAGUCUUAUGAAUACUUGUAUCAAGCUAGGUUGUUGACUACCUGUCUGUUUUUAGUUUAGGAGAGCCUCAUCGCCUUGUGAAAGGGAUAAAGCUUAGGCCAAAACUCCAAGUAGAGUUGCAUGUUAGGACGUACUUGCUUGAGCAAAGGGUUAUCCUGGGUUUGGCCUAUGUUAGGAUGGACAAGAAAAUGCCUACUAUCUUUCAGGUCAAAUAUGACUUCUUUUUGGAGUGUUAUGUUUUGCUAGGAUCCAGCUUUACCCACUUAUGAUGUUGAAUUGCAUUCCUCAAAGAAUAGUAAAGAUUAGUGUUAGUCUUGUUAUUUUAACUUCACUUUGGUGUUUCAAUAAUGGGAUCUGGCAAGUUAUGACUUAAAUUUCCCAAUUCCGGUGGUUGCAUUGUCUUCCUUCCUGUUCUUGUAGUUUGUGUAUGGUUCAGUCUUUUUUGACUUGAGCCUCAUGCAUAUCUGAUGUAAUCUUGUAGAGGCCUUGAUCUAAAAUUCUAAUUAACCUUGAUUAAUUUUUUAACCAUGUCUCAUAUGAAAACAUCAUUAGUUUCUAUGUUAGUUAGUCAUACUUGAGAUAUUCUGAUUCCAAGUAAGUCAAGUACAAUUUGGGCUCUUGAUAAGUUUAUCUUCCAAUAAUUCUAAAUCACUCCCAUUACUUUAUGAUCUUCAACUCUGUAAGGUAAUGGUCAACUGUAUCUACUCUGCUCUCUAAAAUGAGACAUGAUAAAGAUUAAGUAAUUGACAUAAACAUAAAUCUGAGACUGAAAAAAUAACUAUCAAGUAGAAGAUGACCAAUGUUGAUUUGUUUCCUAAGGAAUUACUUUAUGGGUUUUAAUCUUCAAGUUCACGUGAGCUCAAAUCGCUGCAAAUCUUAGUUUUGAAACCUUUAUAAUGCUUAAGUUAAUCAUGGUGUAGGAUUGUUGCUUGAAUAAUACUUUUUAAAUCUGUAUAAUAAUUCUAAACGAUUCUCAUUAAUUUUAUGAUCUUCAGUUCUGUAAGGUGCAAAGUCUUUGAUUGACUGUGUCUGCUCUGCUUUACAAAAUGAUACAUGAUGGAGUAGCAAAAGUGGAAAGUAAUUAACUAUAAACAUAAAUCUGAGACAUACGACUAACUAUCAAGUAAUUGAAGAUGUCCAGUUUUAAUAAUAUGAAGUAAUAAUUAAUGGUAAAGUGUUCUGUAAGUUACAAAAAACUUCAAUUCUGUAAGGUGCCAAGUCUUUGAUCUACUGUAUCUGCUCUGUUCUAUAAAAUGAGACAUGGUAAAGUAUUAAGUGGAAAGUAAUUAACAAUAAACAUAAUCUGAGAUGCCCAAAUAACUAUCAACUAGAAGAUGACUGAUGUUAUUUGUCUCCCAAUUAAUUACUUUAUGGGCUUUUUAACUUCAAGUUCACAUCAGCUCAAAAUGCUAUAGUUCUUAGUUUGAAACCUUUAUAGCACUUAAUCAUAGCGUAUGAUGUUUGUUGCCUAUAUAAUACUGUCCCGAGUGAAAUUUCAAAACACUUUAGUGCCCAAAUACUACCGAUAAUGUUAAAUCUAUGGUGAAGAGGUUACCUUACUAAUAAUACUAAUUCUGUGGCGAAGAGGUCACAUAAAUGACUAUUGGUAGGAGUAUAAUUAAGCAAUUGUUCCCCAUCCCCUUUCUCUGAUUUUAUAUUUUUUUGAAUUUUGAUCAUGAAUCCUUUGUGAAAUGCUUAACUCUUCCUAAGACUUCCAUGUGCAAAAUAUGCACUUGUUUGAAGUUGCACCACCUCUUUUCAUUGUUGGAUGGCGAUUCUGAACUGCAAAUCCUGCAUCUUUCACUGUAUAUCUGACCAGGUGUGUGAUUUUAUUCUUGAUCAUUAUGUGGUGAGUCUGCAACUCCAUAUGGUAUUCCUCCUUUUGCUUGUUUGUUUUUCUCCUUGAUUUUAAGAUCUUAAGUCUUUCUCCAUUCUUUGUUAUUAUAUUAAUUUUGCUUUUCUUGAAGUGAGAGUAAAGCUCAAAUUAGAAAGCCAUAUUAGGUAGUAUAAAAGGCUAGACGAAGAUCAGAAUUUAACAAUUUAAUCUUAGUUAGAGCAAUGGCUAAUGGUUAUCCUUUUUUUUAAUAACUCAAGAUGUACAACAGGUUUGAGGCUUAGGGUUUCUUCAUGGUAAUACAUAGAAAGGCUUUAGGUUCUUGAUACACUCAAUCUGAAAUUAUAAUAAUAAACUAAAGGGAGAAGAGAAAUAUCAGAGAAGAGAAAAAUAGACGAAGAAGACAAGAGUGAGUUUUUUUUUUUAAUUUCUUCAGAAUAUCCUCUUUGUUUUUCUCUGUGCCUGACCUCAAUUACUGACUCGUUAACCAUUUUUUCUGGCUCAAUAAAAUAUAACAAAUAGUAAAUAAAGUCUGGUAAAAGUAAAUAGUAACUCCCUAAAACGACCCUGGUUAAUCAUGCUCUUAAUUGGAGCUGUAACAGUUCUACAGUUGACUUGGUUGGAGUUUGAGAUUUAAGAUUCAAAAUUUUGGCUUGAUUCGAUGAUUCCAGUUACUUGCAAUUCUCGGAAAUGGUGAACAUACAGAUAUAUUUUACAAAUAAAUGUAGGCUGAUUGAAAAAUGAAAAACUAUUUUCAUUUAGGGUUCGAAUUAUACUAUAAGAAAAGCGUGGUGUGUGGCUGUAUUUUGCAAGAAUAGAUAGCAUCAUGGGUGCUGUUCCUUUGUGAAUGCUGCGGUAUCAGAACCUUGAGAAGGAUAGAAAGGAAGCUGAAGAGUUAAAAAAACAAUGAUAGGUUCAACAUUCUAUUCAGUAAUAAAAUCUCCUUCAACAUAUUACUACCAAGUUCGAAAAUACAUAGAAGUAUCAACAGGUAGACACAUUUUUUUAUCAUAAUUGGACUAGGAAUUCUAAGUUCUUUAGAUUUAGAAGUAAACCUUCUAUUAUUUAAAAUUAGGACCGGUUCAUAACUCCUAAUAGAGUUACUCUGUAUAAAAUCCAAGGAGUAACAUAAACAAGGCUCAGCCUAGAUAAAUAGUGAGUUAGUAAAAGUGACUGCAGAAUAAAACUCAAAUAAAUGCUUGCAUUUACAUGUAGUGCUACUUGGCCGGAUCAGGAGAAGAUAGUUGCAUGAAAAAAAGGAAAUAAAUUAGACAGAACAAGCAUGCAUGGAUUCAACCCUCUAUUUAAGAUAAUGAUAUAUGGGAAACUUAAAAAUCUUGUGAAGUUUUUAGUUGGAUGCUAAAAAUAGCGAGUCACUUAUCUAGUGUGCAUUGUUGCAAACAAGUAGAGUCAUAUUUGUAGUCAUAAGAAUGGACUUAAGUGUGGGGCAAAGAUAUUGAAGUGUUGAUUGACUACUAAUUACCCUUUUUUAAGUAUUGUUGGCAUGUUGUGUGUUUGAGUAUAGGAAAUUAUGGAAGCUGAUUCUUGAGCUGAGGUGCUCCUUUGUUAUAUAUUUGGGGAAAAGCUUAAGGUUGUUUAUUUUAGGUGGGUGGUUGUGAUUUCCCUUCAUUUCUUUCACUUCCUGGAGCAAUGGAUCCUUGUGAAGGGAAAAGAAUAAACAGUGUGUCAAUUUCAUUCAAUAGAUGAAAUAUGUAAUAAAAAGAAAAAUUCGUUUUUUGACUAUGUUGAUGAAGGGCUAGAAGAUUUAGUGCUACACUUUUUUUUUUUUUGUUCUAUAAAAACUUUAUUGAUCUAUAAAAAUUAUAAAAACAGUUUUUCAAUUGUUAUAUGUUCACUUUUUUUUUUUUUUUGGGUUCAAAAGUUUAUUAUCUGUUUACUCAGGUUGAGUGUAUGGUAAGUUGCCAAAUGGAAGCAUUUCUCCUAUAAUUAUUUAUUACAAUAAUGUAACUAUGUAAUCGUUGUACAUAUUUAUAUGAUUCAUCGUCAGUUAAAAAUAGAAUAAACUACGUCAUUAGUCACUAAAAUUAUGAGUAAGUUUUCAUUUUAUUCACUUAAUUAAAGAAGUUACAAUUUGGUCUUUAAAACUUUUUAAAAAUGAUUUUUUUGUCAUCUGAAUAUUAAGUGGCACUUUUUUCAUUGGUAUAAUAACAAUUUAGUCUUUAAUUUUAUGCUUUUUUUUGUUAAUUUGACCCUGAUUAUAUAUAAAAUGAUAAAUAUUGAAAUUCUUUUUAAUAUAUGCGGAGGUAUAUGAACUUGAUAAUUUAUACUUAUUUGGUACUCAAAUUUGUUUUUGAACCUAAUUGGUACUCAAACAUGGAAAUCAUAAGCCAAUUUGUUGCUACUUGACUAGUACCGUUAAAUAAGCUAGUGUGGCAUUAAUGACCAAUAAUGUCGCAUCAACGUAUUUUAAUAGUGUUAGUCAGGUACUAGGAAAGUAUUAAGUGGUUUGCAAUUUUUAAUUUUAGGUACCAAUUAGGCCUAAAAUAAGUUUCAAAAUUUGUAAUUUUGAUACAUUCAAAACUUCCUGCCAUAACAUGUUUUAGUGUUUCGAUCAUUUCUCGAGCUCCAGGAUUCCAUUUCAAGUGUACACCGUCGGAAAUAAAAUUUGAAGAUCUAUUCAAAUAUUGGAACACCAAUUUUAAAAUGCAUCAAGAGAAAUUUAAAAUAAAGAGAAAUUACAAGUUUCAAAUUGGUGGACAAUUUUAAUGAUUUUCAUGCUUGGGUCAUAUCUCCCAACAUAUUUGAAGUUUGAAUUUGAAAUUUCUACCAUGAAUAUACAAUGUGCAGAUUUUCAAUUUUCUUGAACUUUUCCCAUUGUGAAAUGUUAACUAGGACAAUAAGUCAUCAAAUAAUAUGUUAAAAAUAAUUCUGAAAGAUGACAAAAAAAGUAGGCCUAACAAUUUAUUACUAGCAAGUCCUUUGCAUUAUCAUUUUCCGCUUUCCUUUGACAUCAAAAUAGGAGACAUCUUGAAGUUGAGAUUAAGAUUAUUUUCUUGUUAGUAUUUGUUUGUUUCUGUAUUCUUAUAAAAUCUCAAGUUUUUUAUAUCUAAUAUGUUUUUUUCUUACAAGUUUAGUUGUUAAAUUUUGUAUGCUAUUGUAGAACUCUUGACAAAUAUUAAGGUAAAUUUUAUACUCAUCAUUUGAGCUAUAAUUAAUUAUCAAUCACUUGUCAUAAUCAUACUUGUAAAGUAAGAUUUUUUUUUUAUUUGUUAUAGACAAUGGAUGGAACAAUGAAUGCUUGGAUAAAUUAACUUUGAUUUGUUGUAGAUAUAUAAAAAUUGACAUAACAAAUACUUGAAAUUUUUUAAUAAGUUUUGAAGUUAUCACGUGAUUAUAAUACCAUAUGUUUUUUUUUUUUUACUGAACUUAAAAAGUUGAACUUUCAUAUUGCACUAUCCUUUGCUUAUGGAUCCAUUUGUUAAACUUUUGGACUUAUUGAACAAUCAUAUUAGACACUUUUUUUAUGGACAUGCUUUUGCUUUUGAAUUUGUAUGUUUAAUUAUUCGACGUAAAUUGCUAGAUUAUCUUAUUGAAACUUCCAUUUUGUGUGGAUUCUAAUUGAGUAAUAAUAUUGAGUACUAAAAUUUAAUCUUAAUAUGUGUAAUUUAAAUUCUAAUUGUUUUUAAAUGUGUGAUUAUCAUAAUUUUUAUUAAAUUAUAUAUUUUUUAAAAUGUAUAAUCAUUACAAUUUCUAUUUUAUUUUAAUUUUUAAGUAAUAAUUCUAAAUUAUAUAUUAUAAUUGUUUUCAGAAGAUAAUUUAAUAAUAUGAUCGAAAAUAAGUGGUAUUCUCGUCAGUUCAAAAGUUUAUCCAAACUUGUGCUUAUAUAUUGCAAUGACUCGAAAUUCAGUGGUCUCGGAAAAUACAGUUUUAGAAUCUCAUUUUAAAAAACCGAGUCCAUAAAUAUUAAAUUAAAAAUAUUUAUAGAGUUAUUAUAAAAAUAUAUUGAAUUUCAGGUAAGUAGUUUAACCGAAAGAGGUAGUUAAUUAAAAUUUAGGGAUUAAAUUGUAAAAGUUAAAUCGCUAUAGAGUUUUACUUGGGAAAAGGCUUGGAGGCUUAGAUAGCAAUUAUUCAAGGGGCUUGAAUGGUUAAUAAUCCAAUUUUUUUCAUAUUGGUAGUGGGAUAUGAUGAUAAUUCCCGUUUUGUAUAAUUUAUAAUAAAAUUAAGUUUAAAUAUGUCUUAUUAAUUAUUUAAUUGUACUUAGUUAAAUUAAUUAAUUAUUAAACUUGAUAUAUAUAAUAACUAGUGGAAGGAGAGAGGAUUCAUUCUUUUUAUCCAACCGAUUCAUGUUAAAGAAAAACAAGAAACUUUUUUGGUUAUCAAGCAUUCGGUCACCAAAAAUUUCUAAGGUAAUUAAACUAAUUUCAUGUAUUUUUUAUGGAUUUAUGAUUAUGGGAGCUUGGUUUAGCUAGCCUAUGUAUCAAUUUGAUCAAUUGUUGAAAUUUUAGAAAGUUUUCAUUGUUGAUUUAUUGAUGAAUUAGGCUUGAACUUAAUAGAUAUUAAGCUUAGUUAUGAAAAGGACUAAAUUUGCAAAGUUAAUUAAGAUUAAUUGUUAACUUUGUUACAUUAAGGACUAUUGAAUAAAUAUAAAAUAUGUUAGAAAUAUAAAAAUAAGGUCCCUAAUGAGAAUAUUUGAAGUCAGAUUUCAAUCUGAAGAUAGGAAUUGAGAGAUAUGUUUGUCUUGAGUUUAAGGACUAAAUUGAAUAAAAUAAAAGAUUUGUGGCUUUGUAUUUGGAUAUGGAUUGAAUGAAAUAUGAUAUUUUCUUAUUAUUAAAUUAUCGAUCGUAACGAAUGACGACUCCUGACCAUCGAGAGGGAAAGGAAAACCGAGAGUCGUCGACAAGUGACGUGAGAUUUUCAGUUUGUACUUUUAUGAUUCAGGAUAGAUCUAAUUGCUUGCAUACACUUGUUAAUUGUAUGAUCGAACAUCGAGGUGAGUAUAUAAUAAUGAUCAUAUGAGUUGGUUUGCUAUGGUUGAUAUUGAUUGCCGGGAUAGGGGACUAAAUUGAAUAAAAUGGAAAGUAUUAUGAUUUAUUAGGAACAUGAUGCGUAAUAUGAGAAUGGAUUGAAUAUGUUAUAUAGUAUGAGUUAAUUGUGUGUUGACGAUGAAUUGGAAUGAAAUUGUGAUAUUGAAUGUGAAAUUAUAUAUAUGAUACAUGUAUAUAUAUGAAUUAGACUGAAUUGAAAUGCAAUAAAAUAAGUUAUUGUUGUGUGAUAAAUACAGUUUACAGGGUAUGCCAGGUAAACAUGAAAGUUUACAGGGAUGAAAAUGAAAUAUGUGUAAUGAAAUAUAUGCUCGUGUGAAUUUAGUAAAAGCUUAGAAUACAAUUGGCAUGCCAAUAGGGUCAUAUGCGCGCUUGAUCAGAAAUUAUUACAGAUUAUAACGAGAUUUACCAUUUGUUAUAGAUUCUCGGGUAAUAUAAUGAGAUCUAGCCUUGUUGUAAAUUCUCGGGUAAUAUAAUAAGAUCUAGCCUAGUUGUAAUUUGUCGGGUAAUAUAACGAGAUUCAUAUUUUUUCGUGGAUUAUUGGGUAAUAUAUGGCAUAAGUUUAGCCCGGACGAGCAACUUAAUUCACUUGUGUAUCUGAGUUCGUUUUACUAGGGUUCGUUUUGUACAUGUUUUAAGUUUACAAAAAUGUAUGUAUUGAGGUUUUGAAAUAAUUGGCUUGAACAAGGAUCAAAGUGGUACAUUUUUGUACCACAUGAGUUGGCACACGAUCGUGUGACACACACAAGCUGGUAACAUGGUCGUGCGAUCACUGGAAUGUAGAAGAUUUUGAAACCACACGGUUCCCAUUUGUUACACGGUUUGGCCACACAGUCGUGUUUCACACAGAAGUUGGUGACACAGUCAUGUGGCUACUAGAAGAAUUGAUCAAUUUUAGUCCAUAUGGCCACAGUAAGUUACACGGCCUGGGCACACAACCGUGUGACCCCUGUUUUGCAAAAUUUCCAGUUUUUUGAAAAAGUUUCCAGUUUAGUCCUUAUUUGUUCUCGUGUCAACUUAAGAGCUUUUGUUAACUUGUUUGAGACUCGAUUUUGGUUGUAUUUCACAUUAAUCAUGGAAUUAUGACAUGAUUUGAUGCUUAAAUGAAAUUAAUUGCUAUAAAUGGUAAAUGUUUUAUUUUGAUAUCUAUGGUAAUAUUCCAUAGCUUGGGCCUAACAACCGGACUUGACGAUCAGGUUGAAUUACGAGGUAUUACAGAUUAGUUUUAAAUUAUUAUUACGAGUAUAAUGAUUUGUCUCUUUGAAUUGUAUUGAAGCAGGAAGAAGAAGAAGAAGUGUUGGUUUUGUUCACAUAACUAGUUUAUUAUCGAAAAUGUUAAGCUUGGUAACUUUAAGUUAUAAGUAUAUGGUAGAUAUAUGCACAUAUACAUACACAUUUAUUUAGGUAGAAUUGUUAAUGUUAAUAUUAUAUACUUAAAUUAUAAAAAAACCACUGAAUGUUUUACUCAACAUAAAGAUUACUUUCUCCAUGCACAGGUUAGAUCUAAUUCGGGAUUUCCAUGCAUCAACCACAACAUCCGAUCCAUAAUCUCGGCCUCAGUCAUAUUUAUUAGUUUUCAACAUUACUUAUAUUUGGCAUGUACCUAAUAGGUUAGGUUUUGUAGUAGUUGAAUGAUACUAUAAUUGAAUGUUAUAUCUUACACUCUAGUAGUAAUAUAUAUAUGGUGAAUUUGUUGUAUGCGAUUAGGUGCAUAUAUAAAUGAAAUAUGGAUCUACUUUAGCGUGAAUAAGGAAUGUAUAUUUGUUGAUAAUUACUAUAUCAAUUGUAUAAAUUUAAUUGUGAAUUGAUUGUAGUUGCUCCGACAACAAAUGUGACAUACUAUAGCUCGGACCUGACGAUCAAGUCGACUGUAAGAUAUUAUAUGUCUGUUGAAAAAGUUAAAAAUGUAUAUAAAACUAUUUUAAUUUUACAUUAAUAUAAAUAGGAAACCACAUAUCAAUUUUAUCUAAAUAUUGUGCUAAAAAACCAUCCAAAGAUGUUCGAUAUUUAUUUGAUUGAAAGUUUCUAAAACUAUAUAAAAAAAUCGAUUUAAUUUUAAACAUAUUUAAUUAAAUUUACUUUUUAGAUGAUUCAAAUAUUCAAUUAAAAAUUACUAAAUAAGUUUUAUUAGUACGAAUUUCGCGUUAUGUCUCGCUUUUGAUUGAUUAUUUAUUUAUGUCAAAUUGUAAAGUGAAAAUUUAAAGGUUGAAAUAUACUUUAAAUUCCUAUACGCUUCAUACAUUUAAAAUUUAGUCUAAUUGUUACCAUCGUAAAAAUUCUUCAAUUAAAAUCAUUUGAGUAACACUUUGAAAUUUAAAAAAAAUCACUUAAAAAUCAUGUGACAAUAAAAAUAGCAUUGAAAAUAUUGAUAUAGAUAUAAAUAAAACAUUCAUUCGAACUUUUCAUGGUAAAUUUUUUUUUGUAGGAAAUAAUGUUUUUAAGAAAAAUUAAUGUCGGAAUUUUGAUUGGAAUAGUUAGCAAUAUUAAUUAUUUAUACUAACUAAUGACAUCACAAAAGUAGAUACAACAAAUUAUGUUAAAAAUUAAAAUAUAUAGAUUAAAUCUCAAGUUUCAAUAUAGUAUAUAUGUCAAAACUGAAAUUGGACUAUUGCAUUAUGAUGUAAAAAAGAAGAAGCAAAAAGCAAGGCAAACUCAAAAGAAAUGAGAAGCCAUUGUUAACCUUCAAGACUCUUAAGGCAUUCAAAUUAUAUAUAAUCUAUAAUAUUUUAAUCGAAAAGUUAACGAUAUUAAAUAUUUGGACUAAUUAGUAUCAUUAUAAUAAUAUAAAGACUAAUUUAUGUUAAAAAAAUAAAGAUUAAAUAUUAUAUUUAGACUUAAUAGAGGGGCCAAAUUAAAAUUUAAUUAUUAUUUCUAUAAGUUAAAAAAAAAAAAACCACCAUGUUCACGACAUAUAUAGUUGCUGGUAAGUUUUGUAACUUAGGCUUCGCGUUAGGUUAAUUAUAUUUAUGGAUCAAAUUUUUGAGAAAAUAUUUGAAAGUUAAAAUAUGUUUUAAGUUCUUGUGUAAUUGAAUUUGAAGAAUUUAAUCCAUUUAUUUUUUGGAUUUAAAAAUAUAAAUUCAGUUGUUAACACAAUCAAGGUUCUUAUAUUAAAUUUGUUAGUGUGACAUUUUGAAAUUUAAAAAAAAAAUCACUUGAUAGCCAUGUAACAAAAAAAUGAUAUUGCAAUAAAUUUUAAUUUAACAGAUAAAUUUAACGGCAUUAAUAAUUCUUUAAAGUUACGCCAAUAUUUUAAUCAAAAUAAAGUAUUUAAACUAACUAAUGACAUUAUAAAAGUUGAUGUACCGAAUUAUAUAAAAAAUUGAAAUAUAGAAAUUAAAUCUUAAAUUUGAGCAUGGUAUAGAGACCAAAACUAAUUUUUGACUAAUGAUGAAUAAUCUUAAAAAAAGCAAAAAGAGGGAGGUAUCAGUAGAUGUGAUCAUGGGUCGGGCGGGAUCCAAACAAAAUUUUAGGCCUGGGCCCAGCCCGGCCCGAAAGAAAAUUGCUAAUCCCGACCCGACCCAUAUUUGAUUAAAAAUAAAAUAUAUUUUUUUAAUAUAUAAUUUUGAUUAAAAUUCCAAAAAAUAUAUAUUUAAUAAAAAGUAUAUUUGAUUAAAAAUAAAAAAACAUUUAAUAUAUAAUUCAGGCCGGGUCGGGCCAGGCCUAGGCCAAAAAAGUCUUAUCCGAGGUCCGGCCCGUUUUCUAAACGGGCCUCAUUUUUUUGCUCAAACCCAUAUUUCAGGCCUAUAUUUUUGCCCGAACCCUCCCAUUUUUCGGGCAGGCCAUCGGGCCGGGCCAAGUAGCCCAACUCAUUAUCACCUCUAGGUAUCAGAUUCAAGAACUUAGUUCUUUUACUUUUUAAAUUUAAAAAUUUAAAUCCAGUUGUCAAUACUAUUAAAAUUUGUUGGUGUGUCAUCUUGAAAUUAAAAAAAACACACACACUUCAUAGCCAUUAGAGCUGUUCAAGGGUCAAGCUACUUGCUCAAACCUAAAAGCCCGCUCGAAACAUAGGAAAGCUUGAACAAGUAGAAAAAACCCGAGAAAUGGGUUCGAACAAAAGCAUAAGCUUGUUUUUCUUUUCAGACCGGGCCUUGAAUAAAGCUUUUUAAGUUUGAGGUUGACCCGACCUGACCCGAUUAUAUAUAUAUUUAAAAAAAAGUGUAGUUAUAAAAAUUUAAUAUAUAAAAUCAACUAAAUCAAAAUAUUAUUUAACUCAAAGGCAAAACCCAUCCUUAAAAAAUAAAACCCAAACCCAAAUUCAUCCUUACUUGUGUUGGAUUUAAUAUACAAACUUAAUGUUUUAUGUUGAGUUUAAAAAGUAUUUUUGGGACAAAAAAUACUUUUGAGAUAAAAACAUUACUAAAAAAAUUAUUUUUGAGCUUCUCAAAAGUGUUUUUGGGGAAAAAAUGCUUUGUAAAAACACUUUUUUUAGCCGAAACAAAAAAAAUUUAAUUUUUACUCAAAAGUGCUUUUGGACCAAAAUGCAGUUUUGAAAAGCAAUGUUAAACUAAACCGGGUUUAAUGUGUUUAUGGUAUAUAUAACUCAGAUUCCUAAAGGAUGCAUAUUAAUUCAAAAGAAAAUAUAAUUUAUGUAGUAUAUUAACUCUGACCUGAAUAACACAAAUUACCUUAAUAUGGAAUCAUGUUUUUACUAAGAACUAAACAUACUCCAGCAGUAGUUCCAGUGGCAACAAAAACAGCUUUAUAUUUGAUCCAAUUCUUUACUGCUAUUCAAAUUUUAUGCAUUCUUUUUCUAAUUUGGAAUGUGAAAUUCAAUGAAUUUGAUAUGCAAUUUUAGUUGAAUUUUUAAGUUUUUCUUUUUUAAAUUUUUGGAAUGACAGUAUCUAUAAGUAAUUAUUUUUAUAUUUAUUUGUGAAUUAUUAAAAUAAAUAUUUAAUCGUAAAUUUGUACUUACAUUUCAAUUUGAAAAAAAAAUUCUAACUUUUAAUUGAGUCCGACUAGGCUAGGCCUGAAUUACCCUAUUUUAUAUAGGGUCAAGUUUGAACAAAAUUUCAAGGUAAUAUUUCAUGCUGGACUAGGUCUGGACAGAGACAAUAUCUAUAUCCUUGUUUAAGCCUAAUUCGGUUCAUGGAUUUAUCUGAUAGCCAUGUAACAAAAAAAUUAACGUUACAAUGGAUUUGAUUUUAAUAAAUAAUUUCAAAAGCGUUAACAAUUCUUAAAAGUUAUGUCUUUAUGUAGAGGUUAAAUAUUAAUUUCAAAUAUAAUAUAAAUACCAAAAUUGUAAAUUCACCAUUGAUAUAUAAUUAAAAAGAGGGACAUUCUCAAGCAUAGAUAUAGAUAAUCAUAUAACUUCAGUAAUUACAUGUUUUGUAAUUAUAAUUCAUAAUACGUUUUUGAGUGAUAGAGUUUAAUUAUAUAAUAUUUUUUAUGUCAUGUUUAAUAGUAUAAUUUAUAAUUAUGCAUCUACCUAAUUUGAAGUUUAAAAAAAUUUAUUAUUAUAUAUAAAAAUUAUCAAUAAUACUCAAGAAAAAAAGUUUUUAAAUAAGUAGUAAAACUUAAAAUCAAAUCAUUAUAUAUAAUACGCCAGUCAAAAAAAUUUAUUAGACAAUACGAUUAUUAAUAAAAUUAAUAAUAAACAUUAUGUAAUUUAAUUAAUUAUUUAAUAGGUCAAAGUGUAUAUAAAAUCAUCUCUCAAUCAUAAUUUUUUUAGGUUAUUUAAAUAAAAUUAAUUAAAUAUAAUAUAAUUAUAUUUUAAAAAACAAAAUCUUAUCAUUAUUGUAUAAAAAUAACUUUUAAAAUUCAAAUUAUAUAAAAAACAUAAAAAUAAUUAAAAUUAAAUAUAAAUAUUCUAAUUUUCACCCACUCAUAACUAGACCUACUCAUGGACCCGGCCACCCGGCCCGGCUCGAAGGCCCGCUCGAAAAGUGGGAGGGCUUGGGAAAAAAUAUAGGCCUAAAAAAUGAGCUUGGGAAAAAAAUAAAACCCGUUUAAAAAACGAGUCAAGCCUCAAGUAAGACAUUUUUGGCUCAGGCCCGGCCCGGCCCAAAUUCACAAAAUGACAAAAAAAUAUGCUAUUUUUUGUUGUUUUAAUGUUAUUUUCUCCUUAUUUUGUUACCAUUUCACUAUUAUGUUAUUAUUAUUUUGUUGCUAUUGUUUGAAUAUUGUAUAAUACUUAUUUUAUUGUUAAUAUUGUUAUUAUUUUGAAGGCAUUUGCUUGUUAAGUUAUGUCCAUAUGAAUGUUAUUUAAAUAUACAUAUAUUUUUAAAAUUUAUUUUCAAUUUGUUGGAAAAUAUUUACUUUUUUUGUUAAUAUUUUUGAUGUAUUAUAUAUAUAUUUAAAGUUAUAUAAAAAGGUAAUACGAACGGAUUGGGCCAUAUCCAAAUUUUAACAUUUUUAUCUGUGUUGGACUUAAACAAAAAUUUAAGUCAAUUUCCCAAGUCAAAUUGGACCAAUAUUUAAUAAUUAAGCCUAAAUUUUUUGUUGAACCCGGCCCAGCCCAGUGAUGAGCACCUGUACCCAUAACAAUACAACGUAGUGGAAUAUUUUUCACACAUUUAUGAUUUAUGCGUUACAUGCAUGCCAUCCCUGAAAUAAAAGAAAUAGAAUUUCUAAAUGGCGGAUUAAAUCGCAUUGCUGUUGUUGAAUUAAUCUUUACGGUGAGUCCUGUCUAGUUUGUUUCUUUCAGUCUUUCUUCCUCUCUCUCUCUGCCGCUCUUCGUCUUCUACGAGGUAAGAUUUUCGUCAACGGCCUUGCAUCAUCGGCGUUCAUUUUACUCUACCUUAUUGUCAUUAUUAUUCUCUUAUCCUUAAAAAAAGCCCUUAAUUUGUUUAUAGGUUUGCCGGUGCUGUUUGAUUUAGGGUUUAAGUGGAGACUUCAGGUAUACGAUCUUCUCUUCCCUUUCGAGCUACUGUUAAAAAGUUCAAAACUGACAAGUUAGCGGUAAAAUGUUUUUUUUUUCUUUGUAUUAUGUUGAAAAUUACUCUCUCUGGUUCACUUAAGCAUGAGUAUCAAUUUUGAUUUCUUUUAUUAGCUUGAUUUAUUAUUAGGUUCUAUGAGAUAAAACUUUAAUCAGUGGCGAAGAUUGAUAAAAUUUGAUUAAUUUUUACUUGUUCUGCUCACUGUUUGUUGAUUCUGAUUGUUUAUCUUGUCUUCUUAACUGCAUUGAUUUUGUUGAUCGUCACAUUGUUGGUUUUACUGAUGCUUCUACUCUAGAAACGAUGAUUUUUUUUUCAUUUCUUUUUGUUUUCAGAUGCUCAUUGGGAGUUGAAGACAAAUUUCUUGGACGGAAUGGGAUUUGAUAAUGAGUGCAUACUGAACAUCCAAUCUCUGGCUGGAGAGUACUUCUGCCCUGUUUGUCGCCUGCUAGUCUACCCAAAUGAAGCAUUACAGUCGCAAUGCACCCAUCUUUACUGCAAACCGUGUUUAACCUACGUUGUCAGCACUACUCGAGCUUGUCCUUAUGAUGGUUAUUUGGUAACAGAAGCUGAUUCUAUGGUACAGAUCCUACACUGUGCUGACUGGUUCUGAUUGAUUCUUAAAAUUAUUAUUUCCUUCUCAUUGACCUUUCCCCUACCUCAAAAUUACAGCCUCUUGUUGAGUCAAAUCAGGCACUUGCGGAAACCAUUGGGAAGAUCACUGUUCAUUGUCUUUACCAUAGGAGUGGCUGCACAUGGCAGGGUCCGCUUUCUGAAUGUACAGCUCAUUGCUCUGGGUGUGUAUUUGGCAAUUCUCCUGUUGUAUGUAAUCGGUGUGGUGUUCAGAUUGUGCAUCGUCAAGUUCAAGAACAUGCACAAAAUUGCCUUGUGAGUAUAUUGAGUCGAUGUGUUGAUGUUGGACCAUGUUUUAUGUAGCAUUUGUUUUAAGUUUGACUUUUAUGCAUAUUUUUAAUGACAGAUGGUGCAGCCUCAGGCACAGAAGGCUGAGGGUGGUCAGGAAAUUUCAGCAUCGGGCACUGCUGCUGCUGCUGAUCAUACUCAGGUUGCUUCUCAGGCCCAGGCAUCUCAAACUACAACAUCCAAUACACCCGUACAGGACCUCAAUCAGCAGGCUAAUCCAAAUCCUCAGUCUCAUGCCAUCUCCCAGGUUGCUAUGGUUACUUCAGAACAGUGGUCUCAACAGCAGCAACAACAGUUUCAGCAAUACUACCAGCAUUAUUCUGGAUAUGACCCGUAUUAUCAACAUUACUAUCCAUAUCAGCAGCAGGCAUUACCACAGCAGCAACCUUUGCAGGUUAAUGCAAAACAAAUGACUGGACACAAUCCAGUGUACCUGCAGACACAACCUCUACCUCAACCAGAGGUUCAGUCGCAACCACAGGCCCAGCCUCAUUCACACUUACCUGAUCAGGUUCCUGUGGCUGCUCAACCGCAGAACCAGGCACCAACCAAUGAACAACAGCAACCUCAGCUUACAAUGCCACCACACUCUCAAAUUCCAGCACAAACUUACCCAACAACCCAGGGCCAUUCACAACCUCAGGUUCAACCACUUCCUCAAGCUCAUCCUCAUCAGCAAUAUGGGCACAUACCUCAGUAUCAGCAGCUUCAUUCCCAGAUGCAACUGCCACAGCCCCAGCUUCAUCCUGCUUCUCAAGCUCAGCCACAGGCUCAGCAGCUUCAGCCUCGGCCCCCUCCCCAGCCCCAGCUUCAGCGACAUCCUCAACCAAGCCAGCCCUUGAAUCCAAAUUUGUUGACUCAGACACAGCACCCUGCAGCCCAGGCAGUGUCUGGUCAUCAGUCUUAUUCACAAUCGCAGCCUCACCAGCAAAUGCAGCUGGUAACACUACAAAAUCCCUUGCAUAUGCCUGCUCAAGGUGGCCUUCAUCCACUGCAACAUCCUGCUGAAAAGCAGAAUUCGUACCCUCAGCAACCUCCUCAGAUUCGCCCGCCCCAAUCUCAUGCUCCAAUUCCAAACCAACAGCAGCCUGGUUUGUUGCCUUUACCUGGUCCUAUGCUGCAACAAGCUCAUUAUCAUUCUCUUCAACAUCCACAUUCAGUUCAACCACAAUCAGUUAUGCAGCCUCCCGGAUCAAUUAUGCCUCAGCAAUAUAUGGAGCAGCAACCUCUGUCAACCCAACCGAUGGGCUUGGUUCAGCCUCAAAUGCAUCAGCAAGGCCCUUUUGUGCAGCAACAACAGUCAUUGCAAUCUCAAAUAUGCCCCCCAGGUCCCCCUCAGUCCUUUCUGCAGCCUCCUCAUGCCUAUCCACAACCGCAGCAAAAUGUUGCAGAAUUGCAUGCUGUGCAGCCCUAUCAAAGACCUAAUCUUGCCGGGAGACCUUUGACACCAAAUCAUGGACUACAAUCACAGCCAUAUCCACUUUCUGCACCUGGGAUGCUGGUUAAGCCUUUGCAGCUUGGUGUGAACCAGCUAUCUUCUUAUCAGAAUAACAUGCUUGGAACCAACAACCAGUCUGGGUUAACUUUGCAACCAAUGUCAGAGGUGCCAGGAGAUCAUGGUACUUUAAAUGUGGUUGAGCAAGAAGCAGAUGUAUCUUCCCAGGGAAUUGCGAAGAAGGAAGCUAAUGUGUUGGAUGUCGCAUCUAGUCUUGGAGCUAAUAUGGUCAACCCUAAUACUUCAAAAUACAAUGCUGAUUUGAAAUCUAUAGAUGAAAAACCUGCCGGUGAUGUUGGGGAUAAUACUAGUGGGUUCGAUAUAUCUACUAAGCUGAUACAAGAAUCUAGAUGGACAGAUCUUGUAUUGAAUAGAGAUACUUUGUCUAAGAAUAUGGCCAAGGGUGAGGCUAUUGAGGACCAGAAAGAUGUUGUCAAUGGUGAACACAAAGUCGAAGAAAAGGCUAAUCUUGGUGAAGAACAGAAUGGGAAGAUGCUGAAAGAAAGAAAUAAAUCUCAAGAUGAAGGUACUGCUAAAGGUCCUGCAGGCAAUGAAUUGACAGGUAUCCCUCCAUGUAGUCAAGUGCAGCCUGGAAGCUUUCUGCAGCCUUCUCAUUCAGUUCCAGUUGUUGACCAGGGAAUACUCCAGCCCCUACAGAUGCCUUAUGGGUCUAAUAGUAACCAACAAAAACCUGCUGCUUCUGCAACAUUACAAGCACAUCCACCAGGACUGCCUUCGUAUGCACAAGCACCAGGACUUCCUCCCAAUCAAGUUAGACCUCAGGCCUCCGGACAGACUUCAGUUCCACCUGAAAAUUUUGCUUCUUCCUUUGGCAGAGGACCAAGUAGUUAUGGUCCUCAAGG